rnacentral:rRNA from 1 species
AGGACGAACGCUGGCGGCGUGCCUAACACAUGCAAGUCGAACGGGGUUCAACCGGUGGCAACACUGGUGAAGACCUAGUGGCGAACGGGUGAGUAUCACGUGAGCAACCUGCCCCGAAGACUGGGAUAACACCGGGAAACCGGUGCUAAUACCGGAUACCCCCACCGGAUCGCAUGGUCUGGUGAGGAAAUGAAUUUUGCUUUGGGAGGGACUCGCGGCCUAUCAGCUUGUUGGUGGUGUAACGGACCACCAAGGCUUCGACGGGUAGCUGGUCUGAGAGGACGAUCAGCCACACUGGGACUGAGACACGGCCCAGACUCCUACGGGAGGCAGCAGUGGGGAAUCUUGCGCAAUGGGCGAAAGCCUGACGCAGCAACGCCGCGUGAGGGACGAAGGCCUUCUGGGUUGUAAACCUCUUUCAGCAGGGACGAUGAUGACGGUACCUGCAGAAGAAGCCCGGCAACUACGUGCCAGCAGCCGC